rnacentral:rRNA from 1 species
AACCUUUACACUGCACGACAGUGCGAUAGGGGGACACCGAGUGCGAGGGCAUAGAGCCCUCGCUUUUCUGAACCUUAAGGUGGUUCAGGAACAAGGGCUGGGCAAGACCGGUGCCAGCCGCCGCGGUAACACCGGCAGCCCAAGUGAUGGCCGAUUUUAUUGGGCCUAAAGCGUCCGUAGCUGGCCGCGCAAGUUCGUCGGGAAAUCCACGCGCUUAACGUGUGGGCGUCCGGCGAAAACUGUGCGGCUUGGGACCGGAAGAUCUGAGGGGUACGUCUGGGGUAGGAGUGAAAUCCCGUAAUCCUGGACGGACCACCGAUGGCGAAAGCACCUCAGAAGGACGGAUCCGACAGUGAGGGACGAAAGCUAGGGUCUCGAACCGGAUUAGAUACCCGGGUAGUCCUAGCCGUAAACGAUGCUCGCUAGGUGUGGCACAGGCUACGAGCCUGUGCUGUGCCGUACGGAAGCUGUGAAGCGAGCUGCCUGGGAAGUACGUCUGCAAGGAUGAAACUUAA